UGCUCAGGACGAACGCUGGCGGCGUGCUUAACACAUGCAAGUCGAACGAUGAACCUCCUUCGGGAGGGGAUUAGUGGCGAACGGGUGAGUAACACGUGGGCAAUCUGCCCUGCACUCUGGGACAAGCCCUGGAAACGGGGUCUAAUACCGGAUAUGAGCCUCCAUCGCAUGGUGGGGGCUGUAAAGCUCCGGCGGUGCAGGAUGAGCCCGCGGCCUAUCAGCUUGUUGGUGAGGUAAUGGCUCACCAAGGCGACGACGGGUAGCCGGCCUGAGAGGGCGACCGGCCACACUGGGACUGAGACACGGCCCAGACUCCUACGGGAGGCAGCAGUGGGGAAUAUUGCACAAUGGGCGCAAGCCUGAUGCAGCGACGCCGCGUGAGGGAUGACGGCCUUCGGGUUGUAAACCUCUUUCAGCAGGGAAGAAGCGAAAGUGACGGUACCUGCAGAAGAAGCGCCGGCUAACUACGUGCCAGCAGCCGCGGUAAUACGUAGGGCGCAAGCGUUGUCCGGAAUUAUUGGGCGUAAAGAGCUCGUAGGCGGCUUGUCGCGUCGGUUGUGAAAGCCCGGGGCUUAACCCCGGGUCUGCAGUCGAUACGGGCAGGCUAGAGUUCGGUAGGGGAGAUCGGAAUUCCUGGUGUAGCGGUGAAAUGCGCAGAUAUCAGGAGGAACACCGGUGGCGAAGGCGGAUCUCUGGGCCGAUACUGACGCUGAGGAGCGAAAGCGUGGGGAGCGAACAGGAUUAGAKACCCUGGUAGUCCACGCCGUAAACGGUGGGCACUAGGUGUGGGCAACAUUCCACGUUGUCCGUGCCGCAGCUAACGCAUUAAGUGCCCCGCCUGGGGAGUACGGCCGCAAGGCUAAAACUCAAAGGAAUUGACGGAA
rnacentral:rRNA from 1 species